rnacentral:rRNA from 1 species
GUACACGCUGUGACUAGCAUAUCAAUAAGCGGAGGAAAAGAAACUAACAAGGAUUCCCCUAGUAACGGCGAGUGAAGCGGGAAGAGCUCAAAUUUGAAAUCUUAAAGGGUUUCCCUUUACGAAUUGUAGUUUAAAGAAGUGUUCUCUGUUGAGGUUUUGGUAAAAGUUCUUUGGAAUAGGACAUCAUAGAGGGUGAGAAUCCCGUAUUUGACCUUUACUUUCAACUUUGUGAUACACUUUCAAAGAGUCGGAUUGUUUGGGAAUGCAGUCCAAAAUGGGUGGUAAAUUUCAUCUAAAGCUAAAUAUUGGCGAGAGACCGAUAGCGAACAAGUACCGUGAGGGAAAGAUGAAAAGAACUUUGAAAAGAGAGUUAAACAGUACGUGAAAUUGUCAAAAGGGAAGCGUUUGACACCAGUGUUGUUUUUCUGAAAAUCAAUUAAAGAACUGUUUAUGCUAAGUUGUUUAGACUUUAUCAGCUAUCUGUUUAGUUUUGAGCUUUUCUUUAAUGCACUUUUCAGUUAACAAGUCAACAUCAAUUUCUUUUGCUGUAAAAAAGCUUGAGGAAGGUGGCCUGAGAUUCGUCUUAAGUGUUUAUAGCCUCUUGCCUAUGCAGUCGGAGAGAUUGAGGUCUGCAGCGUAGAUCCUUCGGGGCUAAAUGCAUUUGUGCUAAGUUAUAGCAUUUUAUAGACAACUUGUUGACUAUGAUUUGUCUUGUAGCUUACUCGCUUAUGUUAUUUUACCUACGCUUAGGAUGUUGAGUCGUAGAGCACGCAG